CGAGGGGUGCGGAUCACCUGAUAAGGGAGGCAUGAGACAACAAUCCUUGGAUCAGCUCAGUGGAUCAGCUGACACCACCCACACCGAUAAUCUGCCUCAACCAGUUCUGCCAAACCAACCAGGAAGAGUAAAUAGCAAGAAAAACUCCAACAACCUCUGAUUCCAUCUUCAACCUGGCCAAUCAGCACUCCCCACUUCCCAAGCUCCUACCCGCCCAAUUGUCUUUAAAAACUCUGUUCCUCGA
rnacentral:lncRNA from 1 species